GACGAACGCUGGCGGCGUGCUUAACACAUGCAAGUCGAACGGAAAGGCUCCAGCUUGCUGGAGUACUCGAGUGGCGAACGGGUGAGUAACACGUGGGUAAUCUGCCCUGCACUCUGGGAUAAGCCUGGGAAACUGGGUCUAAUACUGGAUAUGACCUUUCUCCUUAUGGGGUUUGGUGGAAAGUUUUUCGGUGUAGGAUGAGCCCGCGGCCUAUCAGCUUGUUGGUGGGGUGAUGGCCUACCAAGGCGACGACGGGUAGCCGGCCUGAGAGGGUGAUCGGCCACAUUGGGACUGAGAUACGGCCCAGACGCCUACGGGAGGCAGCAGUGGGGAAUAUAGCACAAUGGGCGGAAGCCUGAUGCAGCGACGCCGCGUGAGGGAUGACGGCCUUCGGGUUGUAAACCUCUUUCAGCAGGGACGAAGCGUAAGUGACGGUACCUGCAGAAGAAGCACCGGCUAACUAUGUG
rnacentral:rRNA from 1 species